UUCCGGUUGAUCCUGCCGGAGGUCACUGCUAUCGGGGUUCGAUUAAGCCAUGCGAGUCGAGAGGGUUCAGACCCUCGGCGGACUGCUCAGUAACACGUGGAUAAUCUGCCCUAUGGUGGAGGAUAACCCCGGGAAACUGGGGAUAAUACUCCAUAAGUCAGGAGUACUGGAAUGUCUCCUAACUGAAAGUUUCGGCGCCAUAGGAUGAAUCUGCGGCCGAUUAGGUAGUUGUUGGGGUAACGGCCCAACAAGCCCGUAAUCGGUACGGGUUGUGGGAGCAAGAGCCCGGAGAUGGAAUCUGAGACACGAUUCCAGGCCCUACGGGGCGCAGCAGGCGCGAAAACUUUACAAUGCAGGAAACUGUGAUAAGGGAACCCCGAGUGCCCGUACACGCGGGCUGUCCCGGUGUUUAAAACACAUCGGAAGAAAGGGCCGGGCAAGACCGGUGCCAGCCGCCGCGGUAAUACCGGCGGCUCGAGUGGUGACCACUUUUAUUGGGCUUAAAGCGUUCGUAGCUUGAUUUUUAAGUCUCUUGGGAAAUCUCACGGCUUAACUGUGAGGCGUCUAAGAGAUACUGGGAAUCUAGGGACCGGGAGAGGUAAGAGGUACUUCAGGGGUAGAAGUGAAAUUCUGUAAUCCUUGAGGGACCACCGAUGGCGAAGGCAUCUUACCAGAACGGCUUCGACAGUGAGGAACGAAAGCUGGGGGAGCGAACGGGAUUAGAUACCCCGGUAGUCCCAGCCGUAAACUAUGCGCGUUAGGUGUGCCUGUAACUACGAGCUACCGGGGUGCCGAAGUGAAAACGUGAAACGUGCCGCCUGGGAAGUACGGUCGCAAGGCUGAAACUUAAAGGAAUUGGCGGGGGAGCACCACAACGGGUGGAGCCUGCGGUUUAAUUGGAGUCAACGCCGGG
rnacentral:rRNA from 1 species